AAAUAGAAAAUGUCUGGGUAGACAUAACAGACUAUUAUUCUUCUCUUGAGUUCCUUAAGACAAUGAGUAGCCACUGCUGUUUGCCCUGGCCCAUCAAUGAGAAGAUCUGCUCUUAGAGCCCUGCUUUCCUGCUGAAGGCCCUGAAAUCACCUGUGUUCCAGGCCACCUGCUAACAAUAAAUAAUGCUGCCCUGAUGUGGGGAAUUAGCUCAAGUGGUAGAGCGCUUGCUUAGCACGCAAGAGGUAGUGGGAUCGAUGCCCACAUUCUCCAAGCUUUAUUAUUUAGACAUCGUGUCUCCAAACACUCAGGUCUCCAAACCCAAGUUAGUGUCUGAGAACAGGAUGCUGCUUUGGUUCAAGACGUAGGAGCAGCAAUAAUAGAGGGCUGGUGAUGGCUCCCUCUUGGCAUUCAGUAUAGUGUAGAUCUACCAUGUAAUUAAUUCUCUGUUUCUUUGAGGAGCUGUGAAACCAAGGGACAUAUACAACUGCUCUUUUCUCCCUGUUUCUACCUGCAGCUUUGUCCUAAAUGUGAGACAAUUAUGAAAAGUGCAGCGCAGAGCCACUUGGGUAAAUACAGCCCCGGCUUUCUGCUCAGGGGACAGAGUUUGAGGCACUGCAGAGGAACCGGCCAAAGUAUGAGACCCAUAUAUUGAGAGUAACAGAGUGUAAAGUUCAAAAAAAUCAAAAUAUUUAAAGAUUUAUCAUGGGUCUUGAUGACAUGAUGGAAUCUCUCUACUCUCUGGACUUAUUAUGUGUGGUAAUAAAUUUACUUUUUAA
rnacentral:lncRNA from 1 species